AAGCUGCCAGCUGAAGAACUGU
rnacentral:ncRNA from 17 species